rnacentral:rRNA from 1 species
UACAGAGGUCCCAAGCGUUGUUCGGAUUCACUGGGCGUAAAGGGUGCGUAGGCGGCCGGGUAAGUCUGCUGUGAAAUCCCGCAGCUCAACUGCGGAACUGCAUCGGAUACUAUCCGGCUAGAGGAAUGGAGGGGAGACUGGAAUUCUCGGUGUAGCAGUGAAAUGCGUAGAUAUCUGGAGGAACACCGGUGGCGAAGGCGGCGUUCUGGACUGUAUCUGACACUGAGGAACGAAAGCCAGGGGAGCAAACGGG